rnacentral:rRNA from 1 species
CCUACGGGAGGCAGCAGUGGGGAAUAUUGCACAAUGGGGGAAACCCUGAUGCAGCGACGCCGCGUGAGUGAAGAAGUAAUUCGUUAUGUAAAGCUCUAUCAGCAGGGAAGAAAAUGACGGUACCUGAGUAAGAAGCCCCGGCUAACUACGUGCCAGCAGCCGCGGUAAUACGUAGGGGGCAAGCGUUAUCCGGAUUUACUGGGUGUAAAGGGAGCGUAGACGGCAGUGCAAGUCUGAAGUGAAAGGCGGGGGCUCAACCCCCGGACUGCUCUGGAGACUGUACGGCUGGAGGGCAGGAGGGUUAAGUGGAAUUCAUAGUGUAGCGGUGGACUGCGUAGAUAUUAGGAGGAGCACCAGUGGCGAAGGCGGCUUACUGGACUGUAACUGACGUUGAGGCUCGAAAGCGUGGGGAGCAAACAGGAUGAGAUACCCUAGUAGUC